GGUUUUUCUAUCCAAUGAAUUUACAUUAAAAGUCAGUAAAUUGUGUCUGUGUGUAAUGGAGACAUUUCAAAAAGCCUCUGCAAGAUACUGUAUGCCUAAAAUAUCUCACUGCAACUUUCUUAUAACAUAUCUGCUUUGAUACUAACCAAUAAAUUCUCAGGUUUUAGGUCCCUGUGGACGAUGCUCCUGCAGUGGAUGUAGCUUAGCGCUUCGCUCACAUCCAAAACCAUCAGUCCAGCCUCAGCCUCUGAAAACUUCCCUCUGUCAGUGAUGGCCUCGAACAGAUCUCCUCCGCUCACCAGCUCCAUCACCAGCUUGGAGCGUUCCACAAUCUUCAGGGCAACAGGUUGGCCGUCGUCACGACGCCGGCACUCCCGUACAACAGCGAAGUUCCCAUCUCCAACCAGACGUCCGAUUUCAUAGCAGCGCUCAAUGUCGGACAAGGCGGAAGAGGAGCCCAUCCUGAUAGAGUGCUAAUCAGUCCUGGAGCCAGAGGUUUUGAUUUUGUCACUAAGCAGCUUUCACACAAUAUAGGAGAUGGUAUAUUUGUGUCUUUCAAAACUUCAUUAUGUUUUAAUGGACCAAUAAUAGAAAGCUUUCUCUCUUUGAGUCCUCCCCUAACACGUAAUUUCUGCAGGUUGUUGGGAAGCUGAACAGGUUUGUUGCAGGAAUUCUUCUUAUUAGAAUUCUGGGGGUCAGGAAUAUAGCGUCCUUUCUGGUGUUUGUGUAGAUGUUGAGAUGCUUGGGCAUUAUGAGUGUCUGGCAGUGUCUCUUUCUCUAAAUUCCCAGUGUUUUCUGUCUCCUCGCUGUAUCCGCUGUCUGCUUUGGCAGCUUUAUCUGGGGCUGGCCGGAGUUUCUUCUCCCAGACCCGCAGAGCAUCUGCACGGUAAUGGGAGGCUUCUGGGAAAAGUUCCUCAAGAGCGUUCUGCACACUGUGCAACUCAGGGCGGGUCUUACCGAGAGCCAAGAAAGCCACCUCCCCACAGAAGAAAUCACACACUCCCUUUACCUACAAAAAAGAUUAAAAAAGAAGAGAAAAAAAACAUGUUAUCUGGACAGAACCAUACAAAUCUAUACCAGAAAUCUGAGAGCAGGCUGCUGAAAAGGAUGGCUCUUGCAUUACAUUUGGAGAGCUGAUUUAAUUGAAGAUGUUUUCUGCCAGAUAAAGCAUUUAAACACUAACUGAGUCAAACCAAGGUGAUCAAGAUCACAAAAAUGUCACAAGAAGAUAAAUAACUAAUCUGAAACACAAAGGUUUAACAUGUCUUGGGCCUAUUUUUUAGGGAAAAAUAAAUUGCAGAGCUCAGUUAGUAUUUUUCUUUUUAGAUAUACCCCUUGUUUUAUGAACCCAGUCAUGGUCUGCCUCACCUCUCGAGCAUGUGUUGUGAACAGACGUGUCACUCUUCCCCUGUGCCAUUGUGGAAACCCCAAUGCUUCGGAGAUAUCCAGGAGCAGCUGCUCAAAGGACACCACCGCCCUCCUGUUCAGCAGCACAGUCACCUCAUAAACAGCAGGGAGAACAUUAGCUAUUAUUAAUACACAAACUAAUUACUUGUUAAGACAUUUGGAUUCUGUCCAGUCUGCU